UCCAACAAGGUAAGUAAUACAUGUAUACUUAGCUUUGAAUUGUAGUUAAAGGUAAGUAAUACAACUGAACAAGCUUUGUUAUAAUAGUUUUGACCAUCUAGAUUGGUUUCUUUUUUUUUCAGAGAUUGUUGUUUUGAGAUUUACUGAUUUGUUAGUGAUUUAUCACACUCUUCCCAAAAAAUUAACUUCUUUUACCUUAAUUGUCCUUGUAUGUUCCAUGUGCCAAGGUUAUGUGAAAAUUUAAAACCUUAUCACUUGUAUUCUGAUGGACAUCUAUGAAAGAGGAGUGAAAGUUUGUUGUGCUCAACUUUCUUGCAUCUGUCAUUAACCUGUUGUUAUAAAUUCAUGAAAUAAGCAUGUACUCAUGGUUGUCCCUUUUUUUUUUUUCUUUUUCUUAAGGGUGAUAUCAUUAUCAGCUGACCUCUCUAGUGUAGUAUUUACCAUCUGUCUUUUUGGUCAUCAAUUAUUUUGCAGUAUGAGGCUACUUGGCAUGCUGGAAACUAGAAUUUUUCCUUGCUUUACAUGGGAGAUAAUUCACAGAGUGAGCAAAACUAAAAGUGGCCAUUUCAAUGAAAAUCUGCACAGAUAUUUCGACUGGUUUCCCUGUGGUUCACUCUAUCAGAUAGACAAGAUAUCAUAACUAACAUUGCAUGGCCAGCUGAUAAAGUCAUAAUUAGCUAAGAAAAUGGACUCACAACAAAGACAAGUGCACAAAGGAUGAUGAAUUGAAGGAUGGAGCAAGUUUCAUGCAUAGUUUACUUUUGUGUAUCUUGUAAUGUUUCUGUUUUACAUUUUUGAAGUAAAAAUUGUUCAAGAUUAUAAAAUUUUAUUAUGUUAUGCUUUCAAACUUAAGUUAGAACUAAGAUCUCAUGAAGUAGACACAUUCAUGGUUUGAAUUAGUUAUUGUUUAAUGUAAUACUUAUGGUUUAUCAAUCUAUUGAGAAUUACAUUU